rnacentral:rRNA from 1 species
GGAUUAGAUACCCGGGUAGUCCGCGCCGUAAACGAUGGGCACUAGGUGUGGGGGGUGUCGACUCCCCCCGUGCCGCAGCUAACGCAUUAAGUGCCCGCCCUGGGAGGUACGGCCGCAAGGCUAAAACUACAAAGGAAUUGACGGGGGCCCGGCCACAAGCAGCGGAGCAUGUGGUUUAAUUCGACGCAACGCGAAGAACCUUACCUGGGCUUGACAUGUCCGUGACCGGCGUGGAAACACGUCCUCCCUUCGGGCACGGUCACAGGUGGUGCAUGGCUGUCGUCAGCUCGUGUCGUGAGAUGUUGGGUUAAGUUCCGCAACGAGCGCAACCCCUGUGGUGUGUUGCCAGCAUUAAGUUGGGG